AAGACUAUAGACCUGCGGAGUACCUGCGGAGGGAUCAUUAAAAAAGGGUCUUUUGACCAUUUUUUUAAAACUCACUACCAAUUCUAGCCCAUUGGGUCAGAUGGAAGUGGGUUUUUUCAAACACCAAAAUUUUAAACUAUUCGUCUUAUGACGAAACCAAAAUUAAUAAAUAAAACUUUCAGCAACGGAUCUCU
rnacentral:misc_RNA from 1 species